UACGUAGGGUGCGAGCGUUGUUCGGAAUUACUGGGCGUAAAGCGCACGUAGGCGGCUAUUCAAGUCAGAGGUGAAAGCCCGGGGCUCAACCCCGGAACUGCCUUUGAAACUAGAUAGCUAGAAUCUUGGAGAGGUCAGUGGAAUUCCGAGUGUAGAGGUGAAAUUCGUAGAUAUUCGGAAGAACACCAGUGGCGAAGGCGACUGACUGGACAAGUAUUGACGCUGAGGUGCGAAAGCGUGGGGAGCAAACAGG
rnacentral:rRNA from 1 species